UCCUGUGCCAUCCUGAGCACUCCUUGCACACUGUCAUUUCCUGCCCAUAUCAACCCUCUGAAGGAGGGCCCAUUUCCCAGUACACAGCCGAACUGGGUCCUGUUACAACUGCAGCUGCUUCCCAUAUCUACGGGAUCCCCAUUGGUGUGGUGCUGACCGCCUGGAAGUCCUGCAGGGACUCCUAACUGUGAGGCACGUAUCCCAGGAGCAGGUCUUGGCCUGGACUGCAAGGAAGAGAGGAUGGAUGGACAGGUCCACAUUGUCACCAGUCCACCACCGUGGCCCCUGGGACACAGAGCCCCCACUCAGCCCACCUGGUCUGCCAUGGACAGGAUAAGUUAGCAAAAACCAAGAUGAACAAAAAAUAUAGGAAAUCUGACUAUAAGUUAAUAAAUUU
rnacentral:lncRNA from 10 species